CGCAUCUGUGCAUGCAGCAUAUCAAUAAGCGGAGGAAAAGAAACUAACAAGGAUUCCCCUAGUAACGGCGAGUGAAGCGGGAAGAGCUCAAAUUUGAAAUCUUAAAGGGUUUCCCUUUACGAAUUGUAGUUUAAAGAAGUGUUUUCUGUUGAGGUUUUGGUAAAAGUUCUUUGGAAUAGGACAUCAUAGAGGGUGAGAAUCCCGUAUUUGACCUUUACUUUCAACUUUGUGAUACACUUUCAAAGAGUCGGAUUGUUUGGGAAUGCAGUCCAAAAUGGGUGGUAAAUUUCAUCUAAAGCUAAAUAUUGGCGAGAGACCGAUAGCGAACAAGUACCGUGAGGGAAAGAUGAAAAGAACUUUGAAAAGAGAGUUAAACAGUACGUGAAAUUGUCAAAAGGGAAGCGUUUGACACCAGUGUUGUUUUUCUGAAAAUCAAUUAAAGAACUGUUUAUGCUAAGUUGUUUAGACUUUAUCAGCUAACUGUUUAGUUUUGAGCUUUUCUUUAAUGCACUUUUCAGUUAACAAGUCAACAUCAAUUUCUUUUGCUGUAAAAAAGCUUGAGGAAGGUGGCUUGAGAUUCGUCUUAAGUGUUUAUAGCCUCUUGCCUAUGCAGUCGGAGAGAUUGAGGUCUGUAGCGUAGAUCCUUCGGGGCUAAAUGCAUUUGUGCUAAGUUAUAGCAUUUUAUAGACAACUUGUUGACUAUGAUUUGUCUUGUAGCUUACUCGCUUAUGUUAUUUUACCUACGCUUAGGAUGUUGAGUCAUCACACAUCUCU
rnacentral:rRNA from 1 species